rnacentral:rRNA from 1 species
AUUGAACGCUGGCGGCAUGCCUUACACAUGCAAGUCGAACGGUAACGCGGGGCAACCUGGCGACGAGUGGCGAACGGGUGAGUAAUGUAUCGGAACGUGCCCAGUUGUGUGGGAUAACUGCUCGAAAGAGCAGCUAAUACCGCAUACGACCUGAGGGAGAAAGCGGGGGACCGCAAGACCUCGCGCAAUUGGAGCGGCCGAUAUCAGAUUAGGUAGUGGGUGGGGUAAAGGCCCACCAAGCCAACGAUCUGUAGCUGGUCUGAGAGGACGACCAGCCACACUGGGACUGAGACACGGCCCAGACUCCUACGGGAGGCAGCAGUGGGGAAUUGUGGACAAUGGACGCAAGUCUGAUCCAGCCAUGCCGCGUGCGGGAAGAAGGCCUUCGGGUUGUAAACCGCUUUUGUCAGGGAAGAAACGCUCUGGGUUAAUACCUCGGGGUAAUGACGGUACCUGAAGAAUAAGCACCGGCUAACUACGUGCCAGCCGCCGCCGUAAUAC